CUAAAUGGUGGGGUUCUUCUUUUUGUUCGUUGGUACCACAGUGACACUUAGUGGUUGAUUUGUGAAUUUGUUUUGUGGAGCGGUAGAGUUCUUCUUCGCGUGUUUUUGUGUUGGGCACUUCCUGUUUGCUAACUACGCCGAGUGAGCGUUAGAGCCUGAGGAAAAGACCAAAGAAAAUCUGUAAAAUAGCGCUCUUGGGAAGCAGAACGAGGUAGGAAUGUGCGCAAUUGUGUUUGUGAACAUUUAUGUUUAUUUAUACACCAUGUAUCUUUUGUUUAUACUGCAGUUUUCACGGUGUCAGACAAGGAAGGCUAAUAAUAAACUGCACCCGUUUGGAACUCCCUGCGUCUGGCUGUUCACUCCAAGAGGCCGCUACAGUGAAAACUCGCUGCAAGAGACCAGAUCUUUCUGCAGUGAAGCCGACACCAUUCUACCUGGAACCCAGCUGUCACCGCUUGCAUCGAUGAUGUCACACAGGCAAGAUAAAUGGACAAUUACAUGAACAAGCUCACAGCAUAACUGAAUUGGCAUAGUGUGUCAAAGGAUAAUUAAAAAGUCUUCGGUGAACCAAGGCAGUUGCAGGAAGCAAAUAAGAUGUCACUUCCAACAGAGAAAACGGAUCCUGUAGACAUGCCACUCAGGUCUAGCUCCAGAGAAAGAAAGCUAACAGAAAAAGGCCAAGAGAUGCACGUCCAAGACAACAAAAAACGUGAGAAAGCGUUUCAGAAGGCUUAUGAUUCUUGGAAGUGGGUAGCAAGAGAAACUAGGAAAAAACUAAAGGCCCUCUGUACAUUAGAAGACCUCAAUGAUUUACAAGAAAACAUUCAGGCAAAGUACGAUGCUGUAAGACUGCAGUACGAGCCCAUCCUACGUAACAGUAACACCACACCAGAGAUUGUCAAAAGGAUGGAGGCUUGUGUUACGCUCACAAAGGAAAUUUGUGACCUUAUAAACAAUCGUACAGAGACUAUUGAUAAAGAUUAUAAUAGUCAUCUUGAGAAAGAAAGAGUGAGAGAAACAUUAAACAAAGAUGAAUAUGGCUCUAUCUUUGGGCACACUCAAACUGAAACCGUAAGCUCAUCAAAAUCAUCAGAGAAUUCAAGCAGCCAUUCCAGCUCAUCUAGUACCAGUAACAGCAAAGCAGAUGCGCAAGCAGAGCUUGCUGCUAAAGUGGAGCAAUCAAAGGCCACCAAAGAAAUUCAAGCACAGCAAGCACAGCUCCAAAAAUUAGAAAACGAAUGGAAACUUAAAGAGUCAAAAAUGCUGUCAGAAAUUAAGCAAAAAGAAGUGGAAAUGCAACAGCAGCUGGAUCAGGAAAGAGCAAAACUGCAGCGGUUAAAAGAAGAAAAGGAAAUAGCUGUAGCAGCAGCUCGUGUGAGAGCAUAUGAUGAAUUUGAACGCAGUGAAAACAAUGUUGAAGAUACUAAUUACAGAACAAACCCUAUCUUCUUUAGAGAUAAACCCUGCUUGAGUCCAGAAGCUACAUCGUUCCAGCCUUACCAAUCGGCUCCGGAGGUGACAAUAAAUCCUGAGUCAUCCAAUCUAGCUGAAGCAAUCGCCAGCUCAUUAAGUAUAAGUCGCUUACCAGUCCCUGAACCUACUGUAUUCAGUGGGGAUCCUUUAAGGUUUACUGAUUGGAAAAUGUCAUUUAUGACUCUCAUUGACAGAAAGCCCCUCCCAGCUAGUGAGAAGAUGUUUUAUCUCAGAAAUUAUCUUGCUGGAGAAGCACGCAAAGCUGUUGAAGGUUUCUUUUACCGAGACUCAGAAAGUGCAUACAUUGGAGCUUGGAAAGUCUUACAGGACAGAUAUGGGAACGCGUUUAUUAUACAGAAGGCUUUUCGUGAUAAGCUUGCAAGAUGGCCAAAGAUUAAUGCAAAUGACUCACUUGCACUACGUGAAUUUUCUGACUUCCUCCAUGGUUGCAAGGAAGCAAUUCCACAUGUCAAGGGAUUAGCUAUCCUCAGUGACUGUGAAGAGAACCAUAAGUUGCUCAAAAAAUUACCUGAAUGGAUUGUUCGCAAGUGGAGUCGAAUAGUUGUGGAUGAACUUGAUGAAUCAGGUGAUUAUCCAGAUUUUAAAUGCUUCACAGAGUUUUUAAGCAAAGAGGCAAAAAUAGCCUGUAAUCCCAUUGCCUCACCCCUGAUAGGAAAUUUCAAGUUUGCAGACGACAGAACCCAAAAGAGAGCCAAGACUUUCAACACAAAUGCACAACAAAAGAGUUUCAGUCAUGGGAUACAAGAUACAAAUGACUGUAAAGCAAAAUCAUCUUGCUAUGUUUGUAAAAGUGAAGCCCAUGGCAUCACCAGAUGUCCCGCUUUCGCCUCAAAGAGUGUUGAAGACAAAAGGACAUUCAUACACGAAAAUCGGCUCUGCUUUGGAUGCCUGAGAAAAGGUCACGUGACCAAGGAAUGUAAGAGACGACACACAUGCAAUAUAUGCAGACGUCGUCAUCCAACCUGCUUACAUGAAGAGAGGAAGGAAAGAUCUGUGGAGACAACAACAAAUAGCUCCACUUCCACAGAAGAACAUGCAAACCAAGAAACACACAGAGUUGUGUCCCAUACAUUGACUCAGCAUGUUUCUGCCACUACCAGUAUUGUACCAGUACUUGUGUCUUCACUACAAGAGCCACACAGAGAAAUACUAACAUAUGCAAUGCUGGACACACAAAGUGACUCGACGUUUGUGUUAGAAGAUGUAAUUGACAGACUGAAUGUGGAUUUCCAUCCAACAAAGCUGAAACUGAGUACUAUGACUGCUGUCGACACAAUCAUUUCCAGCAAGAGUGUUCAUGGUCUACAAGUUCGAGGACUUAACUCUGAGAGUCGCAUCCAACUACAUCAAGCUUAUAGCAGAGAUUUUAUCCCAGUGGACAAGUCUUAUAUUCCGACGAAAGAAACUGCAUUAAUGUGGCCCCAUCUCAGAAACUUGGCAGAUAAGUUACCUCCCGUUCAGGACUGUGAUGUAGGGCUUCUCAUUGGAUACGACUGUCCAGCUGCUCUAGCUCCACUUGAAGUUAUAACAGGUGAUAAAAACCAACCAUUUGCACAGAGAUCAGAACUAGGAUGGAGUAUAAUAGGCUCAUCAAACCCCCACCUAGACAGACAAGGAGGUCAAAGUUUUGUGCAUCGACUCACAGUAAAGGAGCUACCAAGCCCGUCUUCAACUGACAUUUUAAAGGUCUUAGAGUCGGAUUUUACGGAGAGAAGUUACGAAGAAAAAUAUGUGUCCCGAGAUGAUGUUAAUUUUAUACAGUUUCUCAGUAACAACAUCACACAGAGGGAUGAUGGGCAUUAUGAAAUGCCUCUUCCGUUCAAAGGCAACGACCUGCCUAACCUACCAAACAACAAAAGACUAGCCCAAGUUCGCCUGCAGGGUCUUAAGAAAAAAUUAAAGACCAGCAAACAAUACUAUGAGCAAUACAAAACAUUCAUGGAAGAAACCAUAAAUAAGGGUGAUGCAGAGCCUGCCCCUACAACAUCUGAAGGAGAAACAGAGUGGUACCUUCCACAUCAUGGCAUCUACCAUCCCAGAAAACCAGAUAAGCUGAGAGUUGUUUUUGAUUGUUCAGCCAAAUUCCAUGGUGUUUCUCUUAACGACACAUUGCUUACUGGGCCUGAUUUAAUCAAUCCUUUGGUAGGGGUACUAUGUCGCUUCAGGAAGGAGACCAUAGCUAUAAUUUGUGACAUAGAAAGAAUGUUUCACCAAUUUUCUGUCACUCCUGAAUCCAGAAAUUAUCUCAAAUUCCUCUGGUGGAAAGGUGGAGAUUUGGAGAAAGAACCACAGGAGUUCAGAAUGACAGUUCAUCUCUUUGGAGCUGCUUCAUCUCCAGGAUGUGCCAACUUUGGGUUAAAGCAUCUGGCACAGCAACACAAGGCUAACUAUCCUCAGGCAGCCACAUUUAUUGAGAAAAACUUUUAUGUGGAUGAUGGCUUAGUCAGUGUGCCAUCAGUUGAGGAAGCCAAGAAACUGAUCAUUGAAUCACAAGAGUUGUGUAAGAAAGGAGGCUUAAGGCUUCAUAAAUUCAACUCAAACAAGGAAGCCGCUCUCACAUGCUUGGAUUCUUCAGAAGUAGCAGCAGCCAUCGAGCCCCAUGGUUUGGAUCCAUCCUCAUCUGAGCGUGCACUCGGGAUUCAGUGGUUGAUAAAAAAUGACACCUUUGUUUUUAACAUCGGCUUAAAAGAUCAAGCUUCAACCCGCCGCAGCUGCUUGUCCAUCAUUGCUUCACUUUAUGACCCUCUCGGAUUCAUUGCUCCAUUCAGCCUUAGUGGAAAACUGAUUCUUCAAGAGCUUUGUCACCGAGGCAUAGGAUGGGACGAUCCUCUCCCAGAAGACAUAAAGCCACGGUGGGAGAAAUGGACAAAUGAUCUACUGAAAUUGAAAGAGAUCUCAAUUCCCAGAUGUUAUCACCCCCCUGACUUCCACAACAUUGUCAGAGUAGAGCUGCACCAUUUUUCUGAUGCUAGCUGUGUAGGAUAUGGUGCAUGUUCUUACCUGAGAUACAUAAAUGACAAGGAUGAAGUUCACUGCAGUCUUGUGAUAGCAAAGGCAAGGGUUGCUCCCUCAAAGAUCACAAGUAUCCCAAGAUUAGAACUUGCAGCAGCAGUGAUUUCUACAAAGGUCAGUGUCAUGCUUAGAUGUGAACUUGACCUAAAGAUUGAUCAAGAAUUUUUCUGGACUGACUCACGAGUUGUACUAGGGUACAUCAAUAAUGAGGCUCGCAGGUUCCACAUAUUUGUUGCCAACCGUGUUCAACUGAUUAGAGAUAACAGUGAUCCUAAUCAGUGGCAUUAUGUUGAAACGUCAGAAAACCCGGCUGAUCAUGCAUCCAGAGGUCUUUGUGCUUCAGAUAUUCAUUCGACAAACUGGCUGCAAGGACCAAGGUUUCUUUGGGAGCAUGAGUUACAACUGACGACCAGCACUCCAACGGAAUUACUAGUCGGUGAUCCUGAAGUCAAGACAAUUCAGGUGCUCGCAACUGAUGUCAAAUGUAGUAAUGACAUCCUCAAUCGCCUGAAUCGAUUCUCCUCUUGGACAACACUCCUCAAGGUAGUUGCAAGAAUCAAGAGACUAGGUUCAAAGCAACAACAUGGCGAACAUGUGACUGUUGACGAACGUGAAAAGGCUGCUGAAACAGUGAUUAAGAUUGUGCAACAACAAACCUUCCCAAAUGAAGUAAAAUUGCUUAAAGGUGAAAAGAACAUUCCAAACACCAGCGCUCUUUUCAGUUGUGAUCCCAUCUGGUCUGAAGGGCUUCUUCAUGUCGGUGGAAGAUUAAAGCAGUCAUCUCUCUGUCUUAAAGUCAAACACCCAGUGAUACUACCCAACAACAGUCAUAUUACUAAGCUGAUUGUGUCCCACUACCAUGCUAAGACAUGUCAUCAGGGUCGAGGCCAGACACAAAUGGAACUUAGAACCAAUGGCUUCUGGGUCAUUGGUGGGAGUAAGUUGGUGGCCAAGAUGAUACGCGAUUGUGUGUUUUGCAGAAAACUUAGGCGGCCAACAGAAAAGCAGAGAAUGGCUGACCUUCCUAAAGAACGCGUCGAAUCCUCUGCACCUUUCACAUAUAGCGGCAUGGACUGUUUUGGCCCUUUCAUUGUGAAGAAAGCCCGCAAAGAAUACAAAAGAUAUGGUCUAAUUUUCACAUGUCUCUACUCUAGAGCUGUCCAUAUCGAAAUGCUCGAAGACCUGUCGACUGACUCUUUCAUAAAUGCACUGAGAUGCUUUAUCAGCAUUAGAGGAGCUGUAAGACAACUGCACUGUGAUCAAGGCUCUAAUUUUGUUGGUGCCAGGAACGAGUUCACACAAGCACUGAAACAAUGUGACACUAAGUUACUUGAAGUUUUCUUGACGGACAAACAGUGUGAAUUUGUUUUCAAUUCCCCCUCUGCCAGUCAUGCAGGUGGUAUCUGGGAAAGACAGAUCAGAACCAUCAGAAAUGUGUUGAAUGCUACUUUUGCACAGUGCUCAGGCCGACUUGAUGACGCCUCCCUCAGGACAUUGUUAUAUGAGGCAAUGGCUAUUGUAAACAGCCGCCCAUUAACAGUGGAUGGAAUCAAUGAUCCGCGAGCAUUAGAGCCCAUAACACCGAACCAUCUCAUUAUGAUGAAAUCUAAGGUUUCUCUUCCUCCCCCUGGAGUGUUUGUCAAAGAGGACCUAUAUGCCACAAAGAGGUGGAGGAGAGUGCAGUAUCUCAUUGAACAAUUUUGGAGUCGCUGGAAAAGGGAAUAUUUGUUGAACAUUUCCAUGAGACAGAAAUGGCACUCGGCUCAGCGUAACCUCAAGAAAGGGGACAUUGUCAUUAUCAAAGACGACAACCUUCCAAGAAAUCAGUGGCAACUAGGACGAGUGGUUGAAACUGUUCAAGGCGAUGAUGGAUUGGUCCGUCGAGUCAAAGUUCAAGUCGGAGAGCGAAAGUCCAAUUCCUCUUCCAAACUCUCAAUUAUUGAGAGACCAAUCCAGAAAUUGGUUCUUCUUUUGGAAAAUGAUGAGAAGUGAUAAACAACCUUUGUACAGUUUAUUCACCAUGUUAUUCUUUUCUGCAGAAAUGCUCAUUUAGUAGAGUCAAGAAAUCCUGUUCAAUUACUUUCCUCAUGUCUUCUUAUGUUCAUUUAUUGAGACAGGAUUUGGUGGGAGUGUAAAUAGCUACUAAAUGGUGGGGUUCUUCUUUUUGUUCGUUGGUACCACAGUGACACUUAGUGGUUGAUUUGUGAAUUUGUUUUGUGGAGCGGUAGAGUUCUUCUUCGCGUGUUUUUGUGUUGGGCACUUCCUGUUUGCUAACUACGCCGAGUGAGCGUUAGAGCCUGAGGAAAAGACCAAAGAAAAUCUGUAAAAUAGCGCUCUUGGGAAGCAGAACGAGUUUUCACGGUGUCAGACAAGGAAGGCUAAUAAUAAACUGCACCCGUUUGGAACUCCCUGCGUCUGGCUGUUCACUCCAAGAGGCCGCUACACAGACAUCCGACUACAGCUUAAAUCAGACAAAACUAAUUUGCAUGUAACAUUCUAGCAAGAUAAAGGAGCUGCUUUUAAGUCAAUAAAUCAAUAAUAUUGAUUAAAUAAAAAUACUAACAGCUUUUGGAAUGAAAAAGUUUGGAAACCUCUGAGCAAAAAAGACAAGAUGCCAAUGUUAUUAUAUUAUAUAAUUCACAUGUUAUUAUAUUAUUAUUAUUUAUAAAUGCCAAUAAGACCAGAAAUACUUU